rnacentral:rRNA from 1 species
UGCAAGUCAGACGAUGAUGCCCAGCUUGCUGGGUGGAUUAGUGGCGAACGGGUGAGUAACACGUGAGUAACCUGCCCUUGACUUCGGGAUAACUCCGGGAAACCGGGGCUAAUACCGGAUAUGAGCCGUCCUCGCAUGGGGGUGGUUGGAAAGUUUUUCGGUCAGGGAUGGGCUCGCGGCCUAUCAGCUUGUUGGUGGGGUGAUGGCCUACCAAGGCGACGACGGGUAGCCGGCCUGAGAGGGCGACCGGCCACACUGGGACUGAGACACGGCCCAGACUCCUACGGGAGGCAGCAGUGGGGAAUAUUGCACAAUGGGCGAAAGCCUGAUGCAGCGACGCCGCGUGAGGGAUGAAGGCCUUCGGGUUGUAAACCUCUUUCAGCAGGGAAGAAGCGCAAGUGACGGUACCUGCAGAAGAAGCGCCGGCUAACUACGUGCCAGCAGCCGCGGUAAUACGUAGGGCGCAAGCGUUGUCCGGAAUUAUUGGGCGUAAAGAGCUCGUAGGCGGUUUGUCGCGUCUGGUGUGAAAACUCGAGGCUCAACCUCGAGCUUGCAUCGGGUACGGGCAGACUAGAGUGCGGUAGGGGAGACUGGAAUUCCUGGUGUAGCGGUGGAAUGCGCAGAUAUCAGGAGGAACACCGAUGGCG